AUUAGUGAACCUAAACUAUUAGUAAACCUAAAUCAUUAGUAAACCUAAACUAUUAAUAAAUUUAGUAAACCUAAAGUAUUAGUAAACCUAUACUAUUAGUAAACCUGAACUAUCAGUAAACCUAAACUAUUAGAAAACCUAAACUAUUAGUAAACCUAAACUAUUAAUAAAUCUAGUCAACCUAAAGUAUUAGUAAACCUAAACUAUUAGUAAACCCGAACUAUAAGUAAACCUGAACUAUUAGUAAACCUAAACUAUUAGUAAACAUAAAUUAUUAGUAAACCUGAACUUUUACUAAGCCUAAAUAAAUAGGACAAAAGGACACAAGCAUGUUUACAAUUCUAAUUUUUUGUUUAUAAAUACAAAUAUCACAAAUAUUGUUUAUAAAUGUGUUUACAUAAGGGGGUUGUUUACAAAGAGUCAAAAGGGGUACUGUGUAGAACGAUACAAUACAUAAAAGAAAUAGUGUAUUCAUCUUACCAAUCCUAACACACCCUCAUUGUUGGUUUGUUUGGAAUUCAAUAAUUACGUCAGAACGGCUGAGCCAAAUGUGAAAAUCUUUACUGAGAACGGUUUUAGCAAGUUAGGAUAAAAAUGUUCUAUGACUUUUUAUGACAACAAAGAAAUCAUCAAACAAAAAAAUCCCCGAAAUGUUUCAAAAGCUAUUUAUUGUAAUUAUAAUGUAAUGUUUGAGAGGAUAGGUAAGUAGUGCUUAAACCCUGAGUAAACCUAUAAUGUAAUGUUUGAGAGGAUAGGUAAGUAAUGCUUAAACCCUGAGUAAACCUAUAAUGUAAUGUUUGAGAGGAUAGGUGCUUCUAGUAGUGCUUCAACCCUCAGUAAACCUAUAAUGUAAUGUUUGAGAGGAUAGGUUCUCUAAGUAGUGCUUAAACCCUGAGUAAACCUACAUUGUAAUGUUUGAGAGGAUUGGUUCUCUAAGUAGUGCUUAAACCCUGAGUAAACCUGAAACCGUAAAUCAACGAAAAAUCCGAGGAUUAGAGUAUGAUGGGAGGCGCGGAGGGGAUGAAACCAUCGUAAGAGGAUGUUUGUGAGGUUCAGAUUUCCCUCUCUUAGUUUGAAGUAGUCUAACCUCGAAAGAACAGUCUAUAGCCCGUGUCAGAGUUUAGACGAAAAGGGAGAAUUAUCAGGUAUCUCGGCGUUCUUAAGCUUGGGUAAACUUAUGAAUAAAAUCAAGACAUUAGUGCCCUGGCGUCGACCAGAAGAUGUUUUUGGUCCUUCCCCCUUCUCUCCCUCCCCCUCCUACCCGUCCUCCCCCUCCGACACACUCUUCUCAUCGAACUCCACCUUCUCCUCUGACCUCCUUGACUCGAACUAUUCUGGGAACUCGAGUUUUGACCUCAACUGGAGCGACCUCGACAAUUUUACUUUAA